CAUGGGCGCAGCCUGAUGCAGCAACGCCGCGUGGGGGACGAAGGCCUUCGGGGUUGUAAACCCCUUUUAGCAGGGAAGAAGCGCAAGUGACGGUACCUGCAGAAAAAGCACCGGCUAACUACGUGCCAGCAGCCGCGGUAAUACGA
rnacentral:rRNA from 1 species